CAUACUUCAAAGGAGGAUGAAUAAUGGAAAUUUCCAAGUCCUGGGUGGGCAACAAGAUAUCUCAAAACACAAACACAAAAUUCAGGGUGGGCAUGUGAUCCCUCCGUUCCAUAAAUAGUAAAACAGAAUUACAAUCAAAUUUCACUUACAGUUUCCAUAUUAGAUGCCAUAGCAAAUCAAAGAUCAUAUAAUAAAAUAAGUCAAAAAACCCAAAUAUGGGAAAAGAAAGAGCUGAAGAAAUGGUGAUUUGAGCACCUAUGAUUUCUCAUAGGUGUUUUUGGAGGUUAACUACAUCAGAAAGAUCAAGACAGUUGGAAAUGGCUAUUCAUAUUAUGGAAACUUUUUCUCACAGAGCUUGAUAAUCAGGUAAAAUGCUGGAAGAUUAUUUGAUGUAUGAUAACAACAAGAGAUCCCAAGCAUCAAUUUAUUUUAUAAUUCUGGAAAAGAAUGCAUUUGACCCAAUUUUUGAAUAUUUUUUUUUGUUUUUACUGUUAAAUAUUCAUCCCAAACACAAUUAGAUUUUAAUUCUCUACAGAAAUUUAUGUAUAAUAUAGAAUGUAAAGUGACAUAUAAAUCACUUAGAAUUUGGUCGGAAAUCAUAAAGUAUUUAAUAGGCAUAGUCUAGAAACCAAAUGUAGAUCAAAUAUACCCAGAAUUACAAAAAACCUUGACCUACAUUAAGGUGACUUUCCCUUGCUUAUGAAAUGAAAUAGGGUUUAAUAUCCUACUUUUCUGUGUUAUUAUGGUGAUUCUGCCCUACAACCUAUUCUUAUAUCAAAUAUUUCAACUGUCAAGGGUUGUUUAAAGGGAACCCAGGAGAGCCGAAUGGUUAACACACGCACAUUGGAUCAGAAGGGUCUGUCAUUGAGUCAGAUAAUUCAAUUGUCAAGGGUUCUUUAAAGUAAACGCAGUGGGGGUAGUUUCAAUUCUGGGCUUAUACCCAAUUAUCCCUUGCCAUGUCCUACACUACUGGCGUGUGGGAACUAUGUCGGAAAAUCCAGUUGAAAUUUCUCGGCCAAUGCACUGACUGAACCACAGUGGCUCCUCCUUGCUUUUGACUUGUGAUUAUUUAUAUAUAUUUUGUACAUAUUAUUUAAUGUUUGCGAUUUUCUCUGAUAUUUUUUUAUUUUUCAAUCCUGUAAUCUUGAUGCUUUGCUCCUUUUAUGUACAAAAUAUUCAUUUUGUUUGAGGAAAAGGUUCUACAUCAUUUUAUUACUCCUGCAAAAUAGUGCAUUUUUCUUUUGUUAGUUUUCUGUGUAUGCUAGUUAUUUCUAGAUGCCUCACAAAUCACUUGUAAUAUGACUUUGUAGCACUUUUCAGUUUCUGAAAGUAUUUCAAUUUAGUGCAUAAUUAAUCUAAUUAGGGCUUGGUUUGGAUGUUAUUAAAUUUAGAUAUAUUUGAAUUAUAUAUUUUUGGGGUAUGGGGUAGGGAUCUUUCUUUUCUCAGUUCUUGUUUUCGGGUAAAGAAAAAAUUAAAUAGCUAUUUUGUAUUUUGUGAUGUGGGGGGGGGGGGCAAAGUAUAACAAAAUUUUUAUUAGUAUUAGAUUUAUAUCUCUGUUUUUCUGUUAACAUUUCAAAUGAUGUCUAUUUAGUUUUGAUUUGGUGGUGUUAAUUUACUUUUUCCUAUC